CCUGCUCACAUCUCCUUUAGAUAUAAUUCAUCAGGCCAUGGAUUAUCUUUAAUCUUCUGCGUUCUCUCCAGCCGAUCAGAGACCUUGGAUUGAGCUGCCUUGCAGAGUGCCUUAGAAAAUCAGUAGAAACUUGUAAUUAAAAUCAGCUAAAUUAAACUUAGCUGCCCAAUAUAUUUGAAUGUUUAUCAAACAACUUAAUUGUCAAGUAAAAAUUACUGUUAAUUUAUGGACAGUUUAGUUGUAGUAGUUGUAAAUUUAGGAGAAUCAUUGCAGUCAUAAACAUACCUUAAUUAUAUCUGCUAUUGUUUUAAGACACACAAUUAUAAACUGAUUCUACUACGAAAAUUUAUUUCUGAAAAAAAAAUAUAUAGGUUUCAGCUGGUUAUCAAUAACUAGCUAUAAAAUAACAAAAAUCUAGAAAUUUACAAAGACACAAGUGUGCUGAUGUAGUGUUAACUUGCGAAAAUCUGUAAAAUGCUGAUAUUUUAGGACAAGGAUUUAGUGUUACCUUGUGUUGAGCGCAUGUUCUAACAUGCCUUUCAAUAAACUCCUAAUCUGUGCUGAGAACUAAAUCAAUGGUUAGAAUUUAUCGAACACUAAUCUCAUAUGAAUCUAAACAACAACUCAGCUGAACAUCUAAUCCUUCCACAAUAUAGUAUUUCUUUUAAGUAGGAGUCAACGAAUCCUUC
rnacentral:lncRNA from 1 species